UGUCUGAAUGAAUGGAGAGCACUCAAAUGCCUUCUCAUACUCUUUGGAGUUUAACAAGUCAGCAGGGGGGUUUGCACACCAGCAGAUAUACAGCCAUACUGUAUAUUUACCUGCAGAUAGGUGUGUGUAGGAUAGUGGAUGGUGUAGGUAUGUGCAAGAAAACACACACGCACACACACACACACACACACACACACACACACACACACACAAGGAGAAAGAGAAAGAGCUUGCUCAAUACCCUGCGGGGAUCCACUUGAGAUAAAAUUCAGCAGCACUGAAUAAUACAGUCCAUUUAUCAAAGAAAACUCACUUACCCUGACACACGCACAUACACACACGUAUACUGUAUAUACAGCACUCUCAGAGGCUUGCUGUGAAGUGAAGGUGCCCUUGUGUCGGUGGUCAUUUAUCAGAAUAUGUGAUUCAAAGUGCUGUGGCAGGCGUAGCCCAGUGGUCUCUACUUGUGAAUUUCUUCUCAUAAUGCCACACUGGUGUGCCCCUGUAAUGUAAAACACUCUCUCCCCUGUGUUUGGAUUUGCAUCAUUUAGCCACGGCGAGGCCUGCAACAGGAGAAAUGCCACUACAGCAGGAGAAAGGACCAAAUAAACAAAAUAACUAUAUUUUAGCCCAGUAUGCCAUGACGUUUGGAGCAGGUACAAAUGUAGAGUGUGUUUUAUUAUUAGAGAGCUGCCAAGCUACAGUAGUUUAGUAUUAGUAGAGUAUUUCCAUUUAGACUUUUACUUCACCACAUUUCAUUGGAAAAUAUUGUACUACACUGACAGUGGUAGCUACAUACUAGUUACUUUAAAAGACUGAGAUUUAAAAUAAAAAACACAAGCUUAUAAAAGACACUGUUUUAUCAGAGAUGAAACCAGUUGGCUUGAAACUCUCUACUCUCUAAAAAAUGUUCUUGUCUUGUUUCAGAUGUCUAUGAGUCUAAACUUCUCAAAGAACUUAAAAAAGAGAAAGAACUUAGCAGAACUUUCUUCUCCCGUUAAUCAUCUCUCAGCCACUCAGAUUUAUCUUCUGACCCUUUGGAUGGACCCGACCCUUAGGUUGGGAAACACUGGACUAAAUUAGCUUAUUGUAUAUAAAGUAAUUAAAAACAAAUUCCACCUCAGCUAAAACAGUAAAAUGCUACUUGCAUAAUGAUGCAUAUCAUUUUUAUCACUCACAGGAGAACAGGGACUUUUACUUUUGAUACUUUAAGUACAUUUAGCUGGUGUAGUUUUAUUUAAGUAGGAUUUUGAAUGCAGGACCUUUACUUGUAUUGGAAAAAAAAUUACUAAAUUGAAAGUCUUUACAACUGAGCCCCUGAUAUUGUACACUACAGCAGGACAGUAAAAUGACAAAUUAUUGUAAUACACCCUAACCAGGGCUACAGUAGGUACACUCUCAUGGGCUCAGCCAGAGUAAUAUUUUGAUCCUUCCACAAUAAAACCCUGAUUGAUUUAGAAUGAUGUUGUGUUACAGCCAUGGCAGUUUGUCUGUAUUUCCCCAGUGUUUCCAGUUCUUUUCCCCCAGCCCUGUGUCUCUUGUCUUUCCCCUGUCUGUCUCUCUCGGUGUGUGUGUCUAUGUGUGUGGAUGUGGCUGCUCCUCCCAUCUCUCUCUACUGGCUCUUGGCUCCACUAUUCCCACUCACCUGACGUUCAUCUCCCAAUCAAUCCGCUCAGUAUACACACCUGCUUCCCAUCAGCUCAUCUCCUGCGGUACAUCUACUCCGGCUCUUCAGCCACUCAUCGCCACGUUGUUAUUUCAACCUCUGUGGACCACUGCUUGCCUAUUGCCCGUUUGUGGCCUGCCAGCCACGCUUCCUUCCACCACGCCAUCUCCACCGCCAUUACCUCCACUUCCUCCCUGCCUACUCUGGACCCCAAACCCUGGCCUUUCAUCCAUCAUCUCUUCCCCAUUAUCUAAUAAAGCCUUUUACUUUCAAACUCCUUGUCAGAGUCCUGUGUUUGAGUCUAGCCUUUUAGUAAUCGCAACAUGUUGAAGCUUUUAACUGAUAUUGUACAGAGACAUUAAAGGCAAAUGGAGAUUAACAAUAUGAUCUUGUUUUACAGCAGGAUAUAUGAAGUUCACUAUAAAGCUAAACCUGCGACAAGCUGCUAAACUGGUGUAUGAACCUACUGGUUAAAACACCAAGAAAGUCCAACUAAACAGAUCCAGAAAACCUUAGCUACUCAUACAGAGGGCUGCUAUCUCCUGACUGUUGUGUUGUUUUAUUUAACAGUUUAUUACUGAUGCAUAAUCUUUACAGCUGGAUGCACAUCUUGUCUGUUUGUUCUGCUCCCCCUUGGAAUCAGCACUAGUCAGUGUUUUAUUUUUUAAUUUUUUUGGCUGCAUAGAAGAGAGUUUGUUUUUUUUAUCAUGCAUAGCACAGGUGGGUGUUAUUUUAAUGGCUGCUCUGUGCUCACAAUGAUAAAAAAAUUGGAAAAAAUGAGCUACCCCUGAAGUUAAGAGACAUGUAUGUAAGAGAUAUACAUAAACACUUUCUUAGAAAAUGCUGUUUAUGUGCAUUUACCUACUUGUGAUCAUAACAAUCCCAGCUGAAUCCACCUAAAACAAUGAACAAACACAUUUUCAUGUUUCUCACCUGGCAUAUACAGUGUAUUAAUACUGCAAUAUAAACCCUUAAGUUGUAAUUGUCUGGACAUAAUACGGUACAGAUCUUUUCCAGAUCAAAUACAGAAAAUUAAACAAAGUCUCCAAGUAAGUUUACACACACACACACACACACACACACACACACACACACACACACACCACUCAACUAGCACCAUGCUCUGGAUCAGCUGAUGCACCAACCGGCCGAUCGAUUUACAUGUAAGCUGUCAACUGUACAUUCUCCGCUUCUGCAGCUACUACUGAUGCAUGUCACACCUUACUUGUUAUUACCGAGUCCCUCGACGUUUGUAAUCGAAGAACAGUGUUGGGAAUUGUAGAACCUUAUGGAUCCUUCUCCCAAUAGUUUAAUUCAAGCCACCAGCGAUCAGUGACAGUGAUAGGUGAUUUUGGAGCGCUAUAUGAUCACAACACUAUGGAUUAUAUAGAUUAAGCUAGAAGAACAGAAUUUUUAUUCUUUAUAUACAGACAUGAGUCACUUUCCACUUCAUAAGAGAUUCAUUCUUUCCCUUCAUUUUAAAAACUUUUUAUUUACGGCUGAACUUUGUUCUAAAUGUAAACCAGUAAUAUGUUUUUGGUAUCAUGUAUGACGUGUAAUUUGAAACAUGCAUGAUGUGUAACACACGGUGCUGUGCUGUCACCUAUAAGCACAAGGCACAGGCUUUCAACAGUGUCUGGGUCCACUUGAGUCUUCACAAAUAACACUGCUUCUGCAGGUUUUGAGGGUCAUGCAGUUUAAAGGUUAUCUGGUGGUGCGAAAUGAGUUACAAUCCAUUUCUCUGUAUUCGCUCCUCCACCACUCCACAUAUGGUCCAGUAGUAUAGUACCUACUGUACACAGGUCACUAGUCCUGUGCUGCCAUUGUUUCAGUCUUAAACGUUGAGUGCUCACCGACAAUGGGCUCCAGUGCUGUGUGUGCUUGACUAAAUGUGCUGAAUAUCAAGCUCUGUGUUUGCUGAUUACUGCUGCAUAUCAGACUGCUGGUACUCACAUUAAGGAUAAAAGCAGAGCAGACAAGAAGAACAUAAGGCUGAAAUUACCGAGUCAGAUCUUGUCAGGAGCAAAUCGUUGCAUUUCCUCACUGAAAAUUGUAAAUGUGGAAUAUUGGUGGGAGCUCCACUGGUUCAUGGCAUCGGACUGGCUGUCGCAGUUCCAGUUUUUGAUUAAUUGAUCUCUUCCUGUUAUUGCUUUUUGAUGGCUUUAAAUUAAGCUUUGCCAGGAGCCAAAAUAAUCUUUCAUUCUUAAUUACUACAUUAUUAUUCAGUGUGUGAGGUGACUGGCUGAGCACAAAAUGCUUAAAAAUAAAUGGAUAAUACAAUAUAUUUGUGACUAGUAUUUAAUCUUUGUGAGAACCAGUCAGUAGCUCCAUCAAUAGCUCAGCUGCAUGUCAUGUUGUUUUGCCCUUGUGCAAGACUCCUACCUCCCCCACAUACUCUGUAUCAGACUACAUAAAAGGAUAAAAGGCAAUCAUGCACAGUUUGUAUACAAUCUCAAGAAAAAUAUCAAAUCUCUGUGGUCAGGUCAGAAUAACAAUUCAAUCACGAGGACAGGCAUGCACCUGAAGGCAGGCAGACGUGCGCAAAGUGCAAUUGAUGCAAUAGCCAUCACAAUGUACCACUUGUUUUUAUUCCGGUAAGAAAAUUCUCUUAAUUUUCCAGCAGUGAGGAAGCACACAGACCCGCUUCUGUCCCCAAACUGAAAAUUAUAACACUAUAGAGUGCAAACUUUAGCAUCCAACAGAAACACUUUCAUGUCAUUAAGGUCAAUCUAUCUGGGGCACUACUGUGUGGAGUUCCUGGACACACUCACUCACACCCACACAACUACACACAGAAAUAAUUACAUGUCCUGUAAUUGUGUUUGUUAUGUUCAAAAUUUUUUCCACCUCAAUAUUUCCAUUGCUUUUAGCACACCAUCUUUGCUAAAUGAGAAGAAAAUGUAGAGACAUCCGUACAGCUGAAUGACAGAAUGGUGGAUCAGUACAGGCAAAACACACCUGUCUCCAAGUGUUGCUUCUGAUGUUUUUUUUUUUUUUUUUUUUGUUUUUUUUUUUUUAAAGGUGCAUUCACUUGUUGAGCCUCACUCAAACUGCACAGACAGUACAUCAGUGAAGGUUCAGAUUGAAGUGUGAAUAUGGACAGUUAUGAAACAGAAAAUACAUUUGCAUUGACACACAAA